rnacentral:misc_RNA from 1 species
GAUGAAGAACGUAUCGAAAUGCGAUACUUGGUGUGAAUUGCAGAAUCCCGUGAACCAUCGAGUCUUUGAACGCAAGUUGCGCCCGAAGCCAUCAGGUUGAGGGCACGUCUGCCUGGGCGUCACAUAUCGUUGCCCAAUGCCUAUUGCAGUGCAAUAGGAAUUUCUAGGGCGAAUGAUGGCUUCCCGUGAGCGUUGUUGCCUCGCGGUUGGUUGAAAAUCGAGUCCUUGGUAGGGUGUGCCAUGGUAGAUGGUGGUCGAGUUAGAACGAUACCGAUCAUGUGCAUGCUCCCCAAAAUAUGGCCUCUAUGACCCACACGCGUCUUUUGACGCUCAUGACGAGACCUCAGGUCAGGCGGGGCUACCCGCUGAAUUUAAGCAUAUCAAUAAGCGGAGGA